UACGUAGGCAGCGAGCGUUGUUCGGAGUUACUGGGCGUAAAGCGUGCGUAGGCGGUUUUGUAAGUUUGGUGUGAAAUCUCCCGGCUCAACUGGGAGGGUGCGCCGAAAACUGCAAGGCUGGAGUAUGGGAGAGGUAGGCGGAAUUCCACGUGUAGCGGUGAAAUGCGUAGAGAUGUGGAGGAACACCAGUGGCGAAGGCGGCUUUCUGGUCUGUAACUGACGCUGAGGCGCGAAAGCGUGGGGAGCAAACAGG
rnacentral:rRNA from 1 species